GAGUACGAUCGCAAGAUUAAAACUCAAAGGAAUUGACGGGGCCCCGUACAAGCAGCGGAGCAUGCGGCUUAAUUCGACGCAACGCGAAGAACCUUACCAAGGCUUGACAUAUACAGGAAUAUGGCAGAGAUGUCAUAGCCGCAAGGUCUGUAUACAGGUGGUGCAUGGUUGUCGUCAGCUCGUGUCGUGAGAUGUUGGGUUAAGUCCCGCAACGAGCGCAACCCUCGUUCUGUGUUGCCAGCAUUUAGUUGGGGACUCACAGGAGACUGCCGGGGUCAACUCGGAGGAAGGUGGGGAUGACGUCAAAUCAUCAUGCCCCUUAUGUCUUGGGCUGCACGCAUGCUACAAUGGCUGGUACAAAGGGCUGCAAUACUGCAAAGUGGAGCGAAUCCCAAAAAGCCAGUCUCAGUUCGGAUUGGGGUCUGCAACUCGACCCCAUGAAGUCGGAGUUGCUAGUAAUCGUAGAUCAGCAACGCUACGGUGAAUACGUUCCCGGGGCUUGUACACACCGCCCGUCACAUCACGAAAGUCGGUAACACCCGAA
rnacentral:rRNA from 1 species